rnacentral:rRNA from 1 species
CAGCCGCCACGGGAAUACGAAGGGGGCUAGCGUUGCUCGGAAUGACUGGGCGUAAAGGGCGCGUAGGCGGCGAUCAAAGUCAGGCGUGAAAUUCCUGGGCUCAACCUGGGGGCUGCGCUUGAUACUUGGUUGCUUGAGUGGGGAAGAGGGUCGUGGAAUUCCCAGUGUAGAGGUGAAAUUCGUAGAUAUUGGGAAGAACACCGGUGGCGAAGGCGGCGACCUGGUCCUUGACUGACGCUGAGGCGCGAAAGCGUGGGGAGCAAACAGGAUUAGAUACCCCGGUAGUCCUGUCUCUUAUACA